ACUAGCGACCCGCCCCAGCUUCGCAUGGGUGCAAUGGUGAUAUAUUAUGAAUGUAUUAUACAUAUAAACCUUCCUCUUGAAUCACUCUAUCUAUUAAAAAAACCGCAUCAAAAUCCGUUGCGUAGUUUUAAAGAUUUAAGCAUACAAAGGGACAUAGGGACAGAGAAUGCGACUUUGUUUUAUACUAUGUAGUGAUGUAAGUAGAUGAUGCGGCCUACGAUGGCGCAAGUCUACAUAAGGGUGCUUUUCCUCCAGAGAUAUGCAAUGUGUGUCGUUUUCUUUUCUUCUCCUCUAAUAAUAUCUUCUGAUUUAUUUCGUUGCGGGAUCCAAGACAGUCAUUCAUGUCCCUGGGACGUUGGACUUCAGUGUUCCGAUGUUUUCAUGGUUGUAUCUACUGUAGAUCCUGGUGCACAGGAGUUGCAGCGGUAUGGGAGGUUGUG